AGGUAAAAAUUAUAUUGGUAUCCCUAAGCCGUGAGACCUACUUGUAGUGGGCAUCACCAAAUGUCUAUCAUUUUCCUUUUUUUCAAUCCUUUACAUCAACGAUCUGUUUGGUUGAGGAGAAAAUGUAGGAGAAUGAUUUUAUAAUGCAUUGUGUGUACGCAGGCGUGGAAGUGAAACAACACAAUGCAGGCCCUCAUUAGUUUUUACUCUGGAGUUGAGAAUUAAGUUGUCAGAUUUGGUCCGGUUUUAUCACACUUUGCCGAGAUGGUUGGAUGUAUGGUUCAGCAGUUAUGUUUUCAUUAGGGGGAACGGCUCAUCAAGAAACAUGAGUAUCUUCAAGUUUGCGACAGAGUUAAAUCUAGCCGAAUGAUCUUUCACUUUACUGGAAAGAUCUUCAAUGACUACAAGCAGGAGUAGGAAUCAGGCGUUUUUAUUUGGCACAUUGGUGGUUUAACAGGUAAUUGCUGCACUGUAUUUUAUGUGGUUCGUUUGCCCGUUGCUGCUAAUACAACCAUGGAGCAACAUGAAGCUUAAAAAAGGCCUUGGCUGCUGUUUACUAUGGAUGCUCACUCAUGCAUUGGCUGAUGUGGAGUUACCUCCUCAAGUUUAGGGAAAAGAAUGUCUUCCUGCAGCUUUGGAUGGGAAAUCUCUUGUUCUUGGAUGCUUAUGCUUUUGUGCCGAGUAUGGUGCACUUCUUUUAUACAACAAAUUACAGCUUGCCUCUUCCCGGAAUGCCUUAAGGCACGAGAGAGAGUAAACCCCUAUCACCAUUGCAGAAGUAGAUCUCCUUUAUUAUGUUUGAUUUGAAUUUGGCUCUUUGGAGCAAUAGGAUUUGCACACAAUUUUAUCAUCGUCCAAACGUGUUUGGACUAUGCUUUUGCGACAUAGUUUUGGAUCUAUUUGAAAAGUCUUAUUUUGUGUCAGAUAUGAAAUGCCUGUUUAAAAUUUUUCUGAA